AAACUAUGCAAGUUGAUAGCUCUUUGCAUUAUAAGAUGACGUGAGGAAAGUCCGGACUCCAUAGGGCAGGAUGCCAGCUAACGGCUGGGCGCGGUAACGCGACGGAAAGUGCCACAGAAAAGAAAACUCCCAACAGAACGCAUAGUUGUAUUUUGUUGAGAAAAGCUGAAACGGUGCGGUAAGAGCGCACCAGCGUACGGGCAACCGUAUGGCUUGGAAAACCCCAUCCGGAGCAAGGGCAAAUAGGAACGAAAUCGGUUGGCCCAGCCGUCGUUCGGGUUGCCUGCAUGAGUUCACUGGUGACAGUGUACCUAGAUAAAUGGCCGUCAACACAUGGUGGCAUUUGCCACAGUGUGCUACAGAAUCCGGCUUAUAGACCCACUCCUAAC
rnacentral:RNase_P_RNA from 1 species